rnacentral:tRNA from 2 species
GCGAAGGUGGCGGAAUUGGUAGACGCGCUAGCUUCAGGUGUUAGUGUUCUUACGGACGUGGAGGUUCAAGUCCCCCCCCUCGCACCA